CAGAGAAGCCGUGUGAAGAAUAUCGAACCAUUCGUUGACUUAAUGAAACUGGGACCUUUGCCAUUUCUCCCUAAAUAAGGAGGUACUGUAAAAGGUUUGUUUCCCGGGUGUCUUAACCCAGAGAUGUGGUCCUGUCUUUGCCUGUGCAUCUUUAGGUAGGCUGAGAGAGGCUAGGAGCAUGUGAUCUGCUGUGGAUGAUUGUCCAGGUGCACAUCACAGCACCAUCCCUCCUCACCCACUGUUAGAUCAGCUGCCUGUGAUCAUGUUCCUGUGUAUCCAUGGCUGGUGCCCAUCCCUUGUGAGGAGUAGAACGUUGGGAUCAGUGCUUGCCACACAGGCACGCAUGCCUGCUUGCUAACAUUAUAUACUCAUGCAUUAGCUCAUUCAUUUCAACAAACCCAUUUGGAAAGCAAGAUGCAAAUGCAGCCUGAGGGUGUAAAGAAUAUAGGCACGAAGAGAUCUCUCAAAAUUCUUUACAUGGUAAAGAAUUUACUAACUGUGAAGGUUUUUAACAAAUGGAAAAUUCAUUCGUCUCCUUAACCAAAUGAAAAACUAAUAAAACAGUUAAGGAAACUUUUUCUUGGGCAACAUUUUGACCUUUUGGCAACUACUUUAUAACUACAGAAAUCAAGAAAAGCCAAAAUAUACUUUGUCUUCUACAAGCUUUCGUGUCACCUAUAGCUAGUGUAAGGAUUCCACUGUCCAGUAGUCAGUAGAUCUGCAGAGUACCCUUAAAGUGGAAGACUUAAAGGUCUCCAAGGUCUCCAGUUAUAGCUCAGUGGUAAGAUGCUUAGCUAGCAAGCAUGAACCACGGGGUCCCCAGCUCCACACAAGACAAAACAGCCAUGUUAACAUGUGAUUGAUGCUCAGAUAGCUGGUGUGAUAUUAGCAGGGCAGCUGAUGUCCUUUGGGCCCUGGCGAUGGUUUCUGCUGGUUCUCUCCAGCUUUACUCUAUAAUGGCUUUACUCUCUGGAUGGAGACCUAAGUACAGAAUCCUCUAGAUGGGUUGAUUUCUCAUCUGGAAUGACAGCAGGUCUAUUACUAGGGUUCCACACUACAAGGUUCUACCUCACUAAUUCAAGAACAGGUCUAUCACUUAAAUCCCCUUGAUGUGUUCCAGUGGCACUGUGCAUGGCGAAAUGCCUUUAAAGAGUACCUCAUCGUGUUUAUUGUGGAGCAUUAACUGAGUGCCCUGGAACGAUCGCUGAGAUCCAGUUUCUUCCGUCAUAUACACACAGGGUUAAUAGAAGAAAAACCAAACACUAAUUACCAUGCAAUGUGACCAGGGCUCUGAUAGAGAGAGGGUCAAGAGAGAAUGAGCCACCUGGGGAAAGGCAGGAUGGUCGUAUCAAGAUAAAAGAAAAGCCCAUCCCCUGGGCGUGUCCUUGAGACUGUAGAAAACAGCAAGGUGGAAGGGGCCACACUUGAGCCUGUGGAGUAGAGAAGCUUACUGUCUGAGUGAGUGAGGUCUCACACAGACAUCCUGAGCACCAACAGCCAUCAUCCUCAUUUGGUUUGUUAUAGCAUGGGUAGAAUGCUCUAGUGGAUAUGAAGUAAAUGGUAUGGACUUUGCCUUGUAAUUCAGAGCAAUCGCCUGUGUGUGUCCCACACAAAUUAAGUUCUACAAGACAAAAGCAAAUUCUCCUAUCCUAGAUCCUAACAUAAUUCUUACUACAUGAAUUCUUGCAUACCCAGAGCCAUUGUCAUAUAUGGGAAGAGGAAAAAAUACAAAGUGCUGCUUAUCAGAGUGUUUGAAACAUAUGGCAAUAACUAAUAGCACAUACAUUUCAAUGGGGGAGUUUUAUUAAAAUUAAUUGUUGACAAAUAAUACGCGUGAUCCUAAGUAGACAGAGGAAGUUCAUGAGAAGGUGACCUUAAAGAGUGAUGAUACUACAGAAUUAGUAACUGCCAUACAUUUCCUUUUCCCCAAAGAUGAAGGGAAAAAAUAGAGGUUAUCAAAAAAA
rnacentral:lncRNA from 1 species